GCAUUGGUGGUAUAGUGGUAGAGCUCCCGUCUGCUACGCCGGCGGCGCGGGUUCGUAUCCCGGCCAAUGUC
rnacentral:tRNA from 1 species